GCUUUGCACUAGGGGUGUUCUUAGAAGAACUGAGAUAGGUUUUGUACAACCUGAUCCCUUUGAACCUGUAAGUUCAGACUUGCGUAGGAAAGUGCCUUUCUCUAUUA
rnacentral:ncRNA from 2 species